GAGGAUGUAGCUCAGUGGUAGACUGCAUGCAAAGCAUGCAUGAGGUCCUGGGUUCAAUCCCCAGUACCUCCA
rnacentral:tRNA from 1 species